UACGGGAGGCAGCAGUGGGGAAUAUUGGACAAUGGGGGCAACCCUGAUCCAGCCAUGCCGCGUGUGUGAAGAAGGCCUUCGGGUUGUAAAGCACUUUUGUUGGGGAAGAAACCGGCCGGGUUAAUACCCUGGUUGAAUGACGGUACCCAAAGAAUAAGCACCGGCUAACUUCGUGCCAGCAGCCGCGGUAAUACGAAGGGUGCAAGCGUUACUCGGAAUUACUGGGCGUAAAGCGUGCGUAGGCGGUUUGUUAAGUCUGCUGUGAAAGCCCUGGGCUCAACCUGGGAACUGCAGUGGAUACUGGCGAGCUAGAGUGUGUCAGAGGAUGGUGGAAUUCCCGGUGUAGCGGUGAAAUGCGUAGAGAUCGGGAGGAACACCAGUGGCGAAGGCGGCCAUCUGGGACAACACUGACGCUGAGGCACGAAAGCGUGGGGAGCAAACAGGAUUAGAUACCCUGGUAGUCCACGCCCUAAACGAUGCGAACUGGACGUUGGGCACACUUAGGUGCUCAGUGUCGAAGCUAACGCGUUAAGUUCGCCGCCUGGGGAGUACGGUCGCAGGACUGAAACUCAAAGGAAUUG
rnacentral:rRNA from 1 species